UAAAUUAGCAACUUGUGAAAUCUUAAAUUUAAAAUUAAUAAGAGCUGCGUGAUCUUUAUAGGUACAGUGUUAGCAGGUGCUCUGGGCCUCCACCGUCAUUUGAUUUAUUUUGUUUCCGUCAUUUUAAUUGGGGGCUGCGAGUUCUUUCGGCAAGUCUGUGUGGAUGCGGUCUCGUCAUCCAGGAUCCACUCUUAUUGGAAAUAGAGCAUUGGCUCCAACUUAAUUGUACAGGCUUAGUGGUCACAGCACCUCAAAUUGUGAGGUCUUCCCAGAUGUCUACAAAUCCCAAGUCCUUCACUUCAAGUCAGAGUGACUCCCUGUCGACAAUGCUUCCCAGGGGAGGAACCUGCGGUGCAAACCGGAAGCAGGACCUGGAGUGCAUCAGCCUGCUCCUUCCCUGCUGUGGGCAUUAACCAGAGGCUGGACUUUGCACAGGACCAAGUGGUACACAUGAUGCCCUGCAGACACUGCUGAUGAGCACAGUUCCCUUCACACCACGACCCGAGCACAGCCCUCCAGCGGUGGCUCCUCCACACCCCCUGAAACCAGGCCUUCAGCCCUGGCUGGCAGUGUCUCUCAGCCGUCCUCAGACAAACUCUACCAGCGCAGCUCUUCACUGUUUCUCUUUUCUACCUUCUAACACAAGCUCUCUGCUCUGGUUUCUCACACACUAACUCCUAGGCCACGGCCCUGAGUCACCCACCAUCCACCCUCAGAUUGAAGCAGAUCAGCUACACCUGAGGAUGCUGGGAUGGGGACCCUGGGUAGCCUCCAGUGUUGAAAUCAAUGUCCCCAAAUUCCUGAAAAAGCCAGCCAAGUGCUUUUUAACUAGUUUUAAAAUUACCCAGACUCACCAGUUUUCUUUUGUGAUUGCCAAAAAGAGAUAUGAAAUUGGAAUGUAACAUAUUAUCUUAGGAUUUUGAGAAUAGGCUGAGGACCACACUGCGA